UGCCUCUACUCCAGGUGCCUUUUCCUCCUCACAUACAAUCUCCCAAAGAUCCAAUGACGCCAAAAGUAGCUCCAUUUUGGCCUUCCAGUGGUGAAAGUUGUCACCUUUGAACUUUUCAACCAUUCUCAAGCUAUCACCCUCAAAAGAUGCCAUCUCAAGCUACACGUAGGUCCAAAAAACUCUUGAUUUGGAGUUGUAAUGGAGAAGAUAUCACU
rnacentral:lncRNA from 1 species